CCAAUCGGAAUCUUUCUUCCAACCUACAUCCAAUGUUGUUAAAUGACCAUUAUAGCGCCACCAUUAUGCUAGAACAUUAUGGCGGCACCAUAAAGGUUUUUUAACAACAUUGGAUGAGGGUUGGAAGAAAUAUUUCAAUUG
rnacentral:pre_miRNA from 1 species